UCCAGACUCCUACGGGAGGCAGCAGUGGGGGAUAUUGCACAAUGGGGGGAACCCUGAUGCAGCGACGCCGCGUGGGUGAAGGAGCGUUUCGGCGCGUAAAGCCCUAUCGGCAGGGAAGAAGGAGGACGGUACCUGACUAAGAAGCCCCGGCUAACUACGUGCCAGCAGCCGCGGUAAUACGUAGGGGGCAAGCGUUAUCCGGAUUUACUGGGUGUAAAGGGGGCGCAGACGGCAGCGCAAGCCAGGAGUGAAAGCCCGGGGCCCAACCCCGGGACUGCUCUUGGAACUGCGCGGCUGGAGUGCAGGAGGGGCAGGCGGAAUUCCUGGUGUAGCGGUGAAAUGCGUAGAUACCAGGAGGAACACCGGUGGCGAAGGCGGCCUGCUGGACUGCGACUGACGUUGAGGCCCGAAAGCGUGGGGAGCAAACAGGAUUAGAUACCCUGGUA
rnacentral:rRNA from 1 species